rnacentral:rRNA from 1 species
GACGAACGCUGGCGGCGUGCUUAACACAUGCAAGUCGAACGGAAAGGCCCUGCUUUUGUGGGGUGCUCGAGUGGCGAACGGGUGAGUAACACGUGAGUAGCCUGCCCUUGACUUUGGGGUAACUUCAGGAAACUGGGGCUAAUACCGGAUAGGAGCUCCUGCUGCAUGGUGGGGGUUGGAAAGUUUCGGCGGUUGGGGAUGGACUCGCGGCCUAUCGGCUUGUUGGUGGGGUAGUGGCUUACCCAGGCUUUGACGGGUAGCCGGCCUGAGAGGGUGACCGGCCACAUUGGGACUGAGAUACGGCCCAGACUCCUACGGGAGGCAGCAGUGGGGAAUAUUGCACAAUGGGCGGAAGCCUGAUGCAGCAACGCCGCGUGCGGGAUGACGGCCUUCGGGUUGUAAACCGCUUUCGCCUGUGACGAAGCGUGAGUGACGGUAAUGGGUAAAGAAGCACCGGCUAACUACGUG